CCUAAAUUAGACCACCUAAGAAGGUAGGUCUGCAAAAUCUAGAUAUUACCAGAGGAAACAGUGGAAAAGGCAGUUUACUACCAAGAAGAGAAACAUUUUAAAGCCAGCCCACCAGCAAAGAGACCCUGGCAAUCCAUAAAGAACUUUUCAACAGAAAGUGGAAAAUGUAUAUGAAGGACAGGUAUUGAUCCUAAUUCCACUGAAGGAUGAACAGAGUGGUCCAGCAGCCUCGGGGGGAAGCACAAGAAAUGUGAGAUUUUUUCCUGGAUCCUCUUUGAUCUGAGGGUGUCUGGAUGGGUGCCUCAACCGACAGACUCAGCAAUUGCUUCAGAGGUUUGUUACUGUGAGACUAUGCUAGAAGUGAUCCAGAAGAGCAGCACAGGGCACACUGGAGAAGCCACAGAUGCCUGUACUUCCUAUCAUGUGCAGAAGAAAAAUUCCCCUUCUGCCCUUGCUACUGAGGUUCCCUUUCCACCAGAGCACGAGUAAUGCAUCCUCUUGAUAGGUAACUUUAGCUACUUGAUAUAAAAUACAUUUAUUAUUUUUUCAAUAACUAAACAAAAAAUAAAAAGCCUUGCUAUUUGCUUC
rnacentral:lncRNA from 1 species